ensembl:lncRNA
GGGGUCUCGCGAGAGCGCGGGGCCGUGAGGGGAGGGCGCGGCCAUGGCGCAGCCCCGGGUGCUGCCCCAGAGCAAGGAGACACUGCUGCAGUCCUACAACAAACGCCUCAAGGACGAUGUCAAGUCCAUCAUGGACAACUUCACCGAGAUCAUCAAAACCGCCAAGAUCGAGGACGAAACUCAAGUUUCUCGAGCAACCCAGGGUGAACAAGAUAACUACGAGAUGCAUGUCCGAGCUGCAAAUAUUCUGGUGAGUCCCUGAUGAAGCUUGUGUCUGACCUGAAGCAGUUCUUGAUCCUCAAUGAUUUCCCCUCUGUGAACGAGGCCAUCAACCAGCGCAACCAGCAGCUGAGGAGUCUGCAGGAGGAGUGUGACAAGAAGCUGAUUGCACUGCGGGAUGAGAUCUCCAUUGACCUGUACGAGCUAGAAGAAGAAUAUUACUCUUCCAGGUACAAAUAGGGCAGUGGACUCUGCCUUACAACUCCAGGCCUUUUUGGGGUAGUUAGUCCAGACCAUCAAAUAGCCCUUAGAGUAUAGGUGUCGAGAAUGUUCCAAAAAAAAUUUCAGUCCUGCUUUUAAUUAGGUCAAACUCUUUCUCUUCAACUAAAGCAACUGCCUUUUCCUUGUAGAUACCCUACAGGGUUUAAAUGUCCUGGUGAAGGAGGUGUUCACAGCAUCCCAGGUUUGAUAGGUAAUUUCCUUAGGCUUCUGUUGUAAUCAUUAGAAAAGAAGAUGAAUUUCCUUGAGGGAGGUCCCUCUAAAGGAGCCUCUGGCUCUCUCCCUGCAGAUACCAGCUUGCUGGCUGGGUCCUGAUGGCAGCUGGUGUCACCUCACCUUCGUGGUGAGUCCUUUCACAAGUGACCUGGUCACACAUUGUGCCUUUUCCUUCACAGUCCACUGCCCCCAGCUGCCUCCAGUCCUGCUGGGGUCAGCAUUUGCAAGGAGCAAAAAAACUUGCUCAGUUUCAUUCAAUAAUGAAGUAUUGUGAUAGGAUUUUCUAAGGAAUGACUUAUUAUAGAUUUGUUUGUGGGAUUUUUAAUAUUUUUAAAAGCCUCUUGUUUAGCAAACAGACUACAGAAUUCAGACACUUUAUUUUUUUUUUUUUUUGUCAUGCACUCCAGCACUUCUAGUUAAUGAAAGCAGAAGAAAAUAAAUUUAAACUUGGUUAUUUUGGCUGCACUUUCCGAGCUAAGUGAAGUCAGUGCAAUAGUUUUAGGACUUUUAAACAAAAUUUUAAAAAUCUUACUUAAAAUUUUACUGACCAGGUUUUCUAUGUUUGCCUUUUGCAUUUUUCUAAGAAUGCUGAAUGCCUAUAACCCCAGCUAAGUCAACUAAAUUGCUCAAUAUAUUUGAAAGUAAGGCCAUUGUUUAUGAAUAAUAUAUGUAUUUUAAGAGUAAAAAAUAAUAAUAUGACACAGCUUAGAGGUAAAAGUUUAGAGUUGUUUUUCCAACUUUAUUCAGUUUUUUGAGGAGGUUGUGAUGAUCACAAACCCAAGCACCUGUGCAGGUGGUGCUAGGUCCAUGACAUAGCAGUGAGCUUAUCCAGAGGGACGUGGUGUGGGAUGAGAGUGCCCCACAAGUGCCAGGCAUGCUUCCCUCACUCUGCCACCUCUGUGUGCUGGUCACUCCCACUUUUGGACUGAGGGGUUUGGGGCUCUAAGAUCACACAGGUUCUGGCCAUGCUGGCAUGGUCUGUUCACCUGCCUGGCCCCAGGUGCCACAUAAAGCAACCCUUGCUGGCAGAACUAAUGUGGAAGCACAAAUCUCGGUGUACAUCAGAUGGAUUUGCCUUCCUGCUCUUAUCUUAUGGGUCACGAGGUGAGGAAACCUGGCAGCUCUGCAGAACUGUGAUCUGGCCCUUUGUUAUCACGUAGCAUUUGGUCGUUUGCUUCCUCCCUUCGUGUGCUCUUUCCUGUCUUUUUCUGCACCAAAGAAAUUGUGUCUGUGUAAAUACAGAAACAGUGAUUUAUUCAAAGUCCUUUUAUAAUUAGAAUACUACAAUAUUUUUAAUGAAAUCUUAUUGUCUAAUGUGGGGGAAAGGGUUUCUGUUAUGUCACGGCCAUGUUUCAGUGGCUGUCAACACAACAGCCUGUUUGCCCCCAGAGGGCAGUUCCUUGCUGUCCUGGGAAUGCCUGGGCAGUUGUAGGGGCAGGUGUUUGCCAGACUUUUGAUGUGCACAUGGGGCUUUUGAUGAGACCCAAAAGCAAAUUCUUGAAAGUAAGCCCGAGAAGAUUGUCCUGCAAGAAUUUUUGCUUUCCUGCCCUGUGAUCAAGUAGUUUUCUAGAGCUGUCCCUCUGCCCUCAGACUGGCUGGGUGCCCCAGGGGAGUAGUGAAGUCCCUUCCACGCCCUGAGGAGCCCUCCCAGGACACAGCAGCAGGCUGGCCAGUGCUCCUGGGCUGUGCAGAGCUGCUCACUGAGCCUGACUUUUGAGGAGCGUUAGCUGAGAGGUGGAGUUUAGACUCUGGAGCUGUUCUAAGUGGGGCAGCAGGAGAAGCAGUCAUGCAUCUGACACAGCUGAGACGUGGUCAGCAGCUCCCCUGCCAUGCUGUGGACAGGUUCUCCUGGGAGGUCUAUGACAGAACAGGAGUUGUAGUUCUGGUUCAGUCCUGAUGGUCUGUGUUAACUGAACCCAGCUCCACUGUGCUGGGGACUGAUCUUCCAAGGGAUUUUACAGAAGCCCCAGAUAUAAACCACUGCCUUCUCCCUUCUCCUGCAAAGCCAGCUGGGUGACGCUGCCAGAAAAGAGCUCAGCUUGCACCUAGUGCUUUGUGUGCUUGUUCCCCAAAGUGGUAACUGCAAGUCCAGCUUGCCCUCUCUCAUCCUAACCCCCAGACCUGCAUUUGUGUUCCAUUGCUCCCUCCUCUGAGAUCACAGGAGCUGUCCUGAGUGUGGGGUUAAAUCUCACAUAUUUCAUGUUUGUGCAAUAUGAACUGUCUCAUAUUUCUAUACUUAAAAUAUUUUCCUAAGCAUCAGUCCAUACAUUACAAAUGUAAAUAAAGCUGCAACAACAAAAUCACUUGACCCACUGGGUUUGUUUUUCUCUGAAUGCAAGCUGCUUUUUGCUCCAGCACUCACUUUGUCUUGGGUGUCUCUUGUGUGUGCAGCUCCUUCUUCUCUUUGGGAUUUGUUUUGGUUUUGUGCCAGUUCCUUCCAUGUUUCUUUUUAGUUUUGGCCCUUCCACAUUAUGUUUUCCUCAGAGUGGGCAAGAAUUAGCCAGUUGUUUAAAAACCUUUUUUUCCCACACUGCUGGUUCAUCCAGUGUUGGAGUCCAGCCAGCUGCUUUUAGAAACCCUGUUAGCUCAGGCUCUUUGAGAAAAGGCAGGAGCUGUCAGUAUUUUAUAAUCAAACUGGGAAUCUUCAAUGGAAGACCCAAACCUGUGGAGCACUUUUUUGAAAGGGCAGGGGUGCAAAUAGGGUUCUUCUUUAUUGUGACAGGGACAGGCCCCAAAACAAUUGUGGCAGGUGUUUUUUCUGAAGUAAAAUUUAAAGCAGGAUUUCUAUUUUUUCCUUACAUAGGUUGCACACUAAUUCCAAGUAAAAUAAUUAUGGAUAAGGUCUAUGUUUCACCCAUCAGUAGCAGAAGUUGCAUAUUUGGGGAUGCCAGGACUUUAGCUUAGAUCUUUUCAGAUACUUGGAGUGUCUGGAUUAGAAUUGAGCCUCUGUUUCAUUUUGUAGCCACAGUUCUUCUCUAAAAUUGCCCCAAUCCUCACCAAGCCCAAGAGAUUUUAGGACCGGCCCUUAGGGGGUUGUCUUAGGGAAGGCCAGUGUCACAUGAUUUAGGAUUAUUUCAUGAACACAGACUUUACAUCCAGCUUUUUUUUUUUUUUUUCCAUUUUCUUAAUGCUUUGCUUCUGUCUUGCUCCCUUCACCCUUUCCAUCCCUCCCUUCCUCUGUCACCACACCUGCUCUCUCCUCACUGGGGUUGUUUGUUCUGGAAAGCUACAGUCUGUGUGACAGCAAUGAUCUCCCGCUGUGCGAAGCCUACUGGAGACAAGACUUUGCCACGCUGUCCCCCGAGAGCCUCUCGAUGCCUCUGGCAGCUGCCACAGCCGAGCAGAGCGGUGCCACCUCGCAGAGUUCCACCCCGUCGCACCCCCACGUGAACGGGCACGGGGCGGGCCCCGCCGAGCAUUCCUGAAGAAGCUCCGCUGCAUUCCUGAAGAGGAUCCGGGCGGUUCAUCCCGGGAUGGCCCCUGCUGCAAGUCUUCCUCCUGCUGUGCUGAGCAGGCGGCUCCUGCUGUCGGGAGGAGGCACUGGAGCUGUGCUGGCAGGGCGCUGCUCCCUGCAUGGCUGCAGUGCUUCCUCCAUGCCAGGACCUUGCCAGGAGCGUUCCUGUCCCUUAAGAGAUAGAGUUAUGUAGACACAAAGUGAAUCUCAUUUGCUUUAACGUGACAGUUCUGUGUAGAGUUCAUUAGAAGUCUUAGAAGUUUGUUUCCAUGUGAGUGUUGGGAGUUGAAUUUCUUUGGGAUAAACUUGAGCCAAAUGUGGGGGCAGUGAGCGUGUUGGGGUUUUUACUCUGCUUCCCAUGGUUAUUGACAUUCUGGCUGCUUUAAAGCUCUCUCAGGAUGGCAUCUAACAACCUCUGGUCUACUGUAAAGAGUCUUAUAGUAUUUUUACACAACAGUCUUCACUGUCAAAAUGCUUUACAAACUUGAACUCUUGAUUUGGAAGGAGGUCUCGCAGGAGACCCUUAUGGAAAAGCAGUGUUCCCCCCAUGGAAGAACAGGGAUCAGACUGAGGGAUCAAUGACACCACUUGCUCAAAGCCACAAAGAGAAGCAGCAUCAUGCUUUAGUCAGUUGAUUCCUUCCUCAGUGUUUACACAGAAAUUCCUGUUAAUGCAGUCUGAGCUAACAUGGAACCACUGUUUAUGUUGGCUUUUAGUUUUGUCUAAUGAAAAAAUCUUGAAAGCAGUGAAGAAUACUUGAUUUCUCUGUUUCCUUCCAAAGAAACACAUUUGGUGCUUGGUCUGCAGCUGUUCAGCAGCUCAGCACAUCUUCUUUCCUUUUGUUGUGGCUCUGCCUUGGCUCGAGCUGUGCAGCUGAAAGGGAGACGCCACUGAACUGAACAGUGUCACCACAGCUCGGUGUCACGGGCACCAGAGAGCCACCAGGGCAUUCCAACAACUGAGCUGAGCUUCCCCAGCUUUCUGCUGUAAUGUCUCAUUUCUUAGGAUGUGAAUUUUUGCUUUUUUUGUUUGUUUGUUUCUUUUUCUUCCAUUCCAUUUAUUUUUGUAAUUAGGUGACUGAAUAAAAAUGACUGUUUUGUAUAA